UUAUCAAUAAUAAUACAGAUUUUAAAAAGAUCGUACCAAACCACUAUCCAGCCGAAAGUGGAGGUUUUUCAUUGAAAUGUACCUGUGGAACAACGGCAAAUACUGGCAUGACAUUAACGGGUCAUAAUCUGAAUACAACAAUCAAUAAAUUAUUGAGCAAAAUUAUUCACUAAGUUGCUCGUCCGCCAAAAAAAACCAGAGUCUAAACUCAAAAUCCAAAAACCUGUUUACCUGGUAGCCACUACUGUAAUCAGAUUUUUGAGUCACUUCAGGCUUACUACUUAUUUGGAUUUAAAAGGACAACUAAAAUGAUACAAAAGCAAAAUUUUGCAUGAGACACGCAAAGAGCAAAUUUCAUUGUGUGUUGCUGUCAUUAUUUUUCUCCAAUUACUCAACAAUACGACGAGCUUAAAGGCGUGAUUGAAAUUUCCGCUUAAAGAUGGCACAAAAGCACGGUUGGUGGGUCACACAUGGUCAUGGAUUAGAAUGGGCAAAGCCAGAGUCAGCAAUUUGUCAAUUUUGUUACAUGGAGGGGAGAGAGUAAAAGGGAUGCAGGACAGGCAAAGCUGUGGAUUGCAGAGCUAGCUCAUUAAUGUCAUCAACUUUUCGAACUGGAAAUCAAACUUUCGGUUUUUUGGGUUUUGUAAUUAUAAACACCAAAAAGCUGUUGCCAUCAAAUGUCGUCGAGCGACCAUCCGACCGACGAGGACGAACCAACCGAGAGAUGCUGCUGAUGCCGCUGAUACUGAUGAUAAUCAUGAUGAUGAUGAUGAUGAUAAUAAUGAUGAUUUUCCUCUGCUUUUGCUUCACGCUGCUUAGCAAGUUGAUUAAUGAAUGUGGCAGCGACAUUGAUUCCUCCCAACAUUCUCCAACCUCUCUAUCUUUUACUCCUGCUGCGGUUUUAUCGAACAUAAAAAGAGAAAAACACCACAAAAAGCAACCCAAAGACAAUGACCAAGUUGGUAUGAUAUCUGAUCUGUUGGUCUUCUGCAAUUGAAUGCCUUCUGUGCUCUGCACUCUGUGUGUCUGGACAAUUAUUUUCAACACUUGUUUGCACUUGGCUGGCUGGCUGGUUGGUUGGUUGGUUGGUUGGCUGGCUGGCUGCCUAGCUGUCUGGCAACGCAAUCCAAGACCACAUUUUCUGCAAAAUAAAUCUCUGCAGGAGUAAGAACUUGUGAUAGAGCAAGGGCCAGGGCAAAGCACGUGGCAUGUAACAUGGAUCACGUGGCGUUCUUUAAUGUGUUUUGUAAUUCACAAAAGAUUGUUCCUUUUCGAUUCUUUGGUCUAUUAUGAACUUUGGUUGCUCAUGCACCUCUAUGACCUGGCGGUAAGUAAACUUCUCUCGAGCUUACUGCGGUGUCCAAUCAGUCGAUUAUUUUAUCUCCUGGCGAGCCUUUCAUCUGCUCCUCAAUAGUGUGCAGGUUAAGGUUCCGAUAAAGGGUGGACAGUUAGUAAUUUUUCGCAUGACCCGAUUCUGCGAUUCAUCCUUUGUGAGUUCAAAUAGGUCGUUUGAACCUCCAUUUUACAAUAUUGGCAACUAUUGUGGACUUAACGGAUUACCAGUGUGAAUAUUAUCGUCCAAAUGAUUGUUAUUGUCAUAAGCAUUAUCAGCCAUCGUUGAGGUUUGAUCAUCCUUAUAAUUUUUUUUGCGUUAGUUGACUUUUGUUCAUACAGUGAACGGUUGCCCUAUAGCUGGAUUGAAAAAUUUAACAAUGUUUUUAAAAACUUGUAACUUUGCGAAUCUGUAACUAUAAAUUAUGCAAUAUGUAGUUACAAUUA